UACGUAGGGUGCGAGCGUUGUCCGGAAUUAUUGGGCGUAAAGAGCUUGUAGGCGGUUUGUCGCGUCUGCCGUGAAAGUCCGGGGCUCAACUCCGGAUCUGCGGUGGGUACGGGCAGACUAGAGUGAUGUAGGGGAGACUGGAAUUCCUGGUGUAGCGGUGAAAUGCGCAGAUAUCAGGAGGAACACCGGUGGCGAAGGCGGUUCUCUGGGCAUGUCCUGACGCUGAGGAGCGAAAGUGUGGGGAGCGAACAGG
rnacentral:rRNA from 1 species